AACGUAGGAGACAAACGUUAUCCGGAGUUACUGGGCGUAAAGGGCGUGCAGGUGGUCUGUUAAGUCUGGCGUGAAAGCUCUCGGCUAAACCGGGAGAGGUCGUUGGAUACUGGCGGACUAGAGGACGGUAGAGGCGUGUGGAAUUCCAGGUGUAGCGGUGAAAUGCGUAGAUAUCUGGAGGAACACCGGUGGCGAAGGCGGCAUCCUGGACCAACACUGACGCUGAGGAGCGAAAGCCAGGGGAGCAAACGGG
rnacentral:rRNA from 1 species